rnacentral:rRNA from 1 species
AGACUCGCCCGGGGGGCCGCCCCGGGCGGGGCGGGGGCACGGGGGGAACGCGAAGAACCUUACCUACUCUUGACAUCCAGAGAAUUUGCUAGAGAUAGCUUAGUGCCUUCGGGAACUCUGAGACAGGUGCUGCAUGGCUGUCGUCAGCUCGUGUUGUGAAAUGUUGGGUUAAGUCCCGCAACGAGCGCAACCCUUAUCCUUUGUUGCCAGCGAGUAAUGUCGGGAACUCAAAGGAGACUGCCGGUGAUAAACCGGAGGAAGGUGGGGAUGACGUCAAGUCAUCAUGGCCCUUACGAGUAGGGCUACACACGUGCUACUAAUGGCAUAUACAAAGAGAAGCGAACUCGCGAGAGCAAGCGGACCUCAUAAAGUAUGUCGUAGUCCGGAUUGGAGUCUGCAACUCGACUCCAUGAAGU